rnacentral:rRNA from 1 species
UACGUAGGGGGCAAGCGUUGUCCGGAUUUAUUGGGCGUAAAGAGCGUGUAGGCGGCUUGGAAGGUCAGCUGUGAAAACUCGAGGCUCAACCUCGGGUCUGCAUUCGAUACGGGCUAGCUAGAGUGUGGUAGGGGAGAUCGGAAUUCCUGGUGUAGCGGUGAAAUGCGUAGAUAUCGGAAGGAACACCGGUGGCGAAAGCGGCGCGCUGGACCUCUUCUGACGCUGAGGCGCGAAAGCCAGGGGAGCAAACGGG